rnacentral:rRNA from 1 species
ACGGGUGAGUAACACGUGGGCAAUCUGCCCUUCACUCUGGGACAAGCCCUGGAAACGGGGUCUAAUACCGGAUAUCACUUCCACUCGCAUGGGUGGGGGUCGAAAGCUCCGGCGGUGAAGGAUGAGCCCGCGGCCUAUCAGCUUGUUGGUGAGGUAAUGGCUCACCAAGGCGACGACGGGUAGCCGGCCUGAGAGGGCGACCGGCCACACUGGGACUGGGACACAGCCCAGACUCCUACGGGAGGCAGCAGUGGGGAAUAUUGCACAAUGGGCGAAAGCCUGAUGCAGCGACGCCGCGUGAGGGAUGACGGCCUUCGGGUUGUAAACCUCUUUCAGCAGGGAAGAAGCGAAAGUGACGGUACCUGCAGAAGAAGCGCCGGCUAACUACGUGCCAGCAGCCGCGGUAAUACGUAGGGCGCAAGCGUUGUCCGGAAUUAUUGGGCGUAAAGAGCUCGUAGGCGGUCUGUCGCGUCGGAUGUGAAAGCCCGGUGCUUAACCCCGGGUCUGCAUUCGAUACGGGCAGACUAGAGUGUGGUAGGGGAGAUCGGAAUUCCUGGUGUAGCGGUGAAAUGCGCAGA